rnacentral:tmRNA from 1 species
GGGGAUGACAGGUUUCGACGAUGUUAGUCGCGCCAGGGGAAGCGGGCCGAGGAUGCAGAGUUAUCUCGGAAACGCCCUCUGCAAAACAAUAAGUGCCGAAUCUAAGCGCACUGACUUCGCUCUCGCUGCCUAAGCAGUAGACCGAGUCCGUCAGCCCGGGGACGCUCCCGCCCCGGAUGCUGGCGUCAUUUAGGGGGCCACUGCUGGACACUUUCGCCGUCGGAGUGUCCGGGACUUUUAGACGGCUGGGCCCGGGUCAGCCACCUGUUUGCAGGAUGGCUGGGGCCAAGAAAACCCGACGCAAACUGCGCCCGGAGAAGUCCUGGCAACACAACAUCGGACGGGGGUUCAAUUCCCCCCAUCUCCAC